UACGAAGGGGGCUAGCGUUGCUCGGAAUCACUGGGCGUAAAGCGCACGUAGGCGGAUUGCUAAGUCAGGGGUGAAAUCCUGGAGCUCAACUCCAGAAUUGCCCUUGAUACUGGCGGUCUCGAGUCCGGGAGAGGUGAGUGGAACUGCGAGUGUAGAGGUGAAAUUCGUAGAUAUUCGCAAGAACACCAGUGGCGAAGGCGGCUCACUGGCCCGGUACUGACGCUGAGGUGCGAAAGCGUGGGGAGCAAACAGG
rnacentral:rRNA from 1 species